UGUGUGCUCAUAGCACUUAAACUAUUGGGAAUCUAGGCUUCCUCUGCAGCACUUGACAUGGCAAUUCAUGUCUGUGGAAAUCCCUGGUAGUUGGAAGCUGGCUAAAGCUAGGGUUCUCUUAUUCAUUGGUUAAGGGCACCACUUUCAGAUAAAAACAUAGACCUGAAUAGCAUCAUCCAGUAUCCAAGGAAACCAUGCAAGUCAUGCUUUUGUCUGAGGGACUUGGUUCCAUCAGCAGUAAUGGAGAAGCAGAAUGGAUGAGAUUGACUCCACCAUCACUACCCCAAUGACAUGUCCUGCUCACAGGUGCCUGUAUGAAAUGCCUUAACCAUAUGAAGCAUUUAUUGUGUAAGAAUGAGUACAUAUCAAGCAUCAGGAGUCUGGUGUUUCCACAGCACACUCUAAUGACUUCUAGACUGAGGAAAAUGAGAGAAGCAAGAAACAACAGCUCAUCAAUCCAGAAUGUCAGAGAAAGCAAUAUUUUUUUUUAAAGGAAAAAGGCUUAGACUAUUCAUGGACCUUUCAAUACAGUCCUACUUAAUCUACCCUACUUUUGAAUUAAGAUCUAGUCCUAUUAGGCAUUCCUUUUCUUCAUUGCUACCCUCACAAACAACUACCUUGUCUCCCCCAUCUCUUUUCUCUAGAUCAUUUUCCGGGUCUUUUUUCUAUUAAUACAUAUUGUGCUGUGUCUCAAACUCUCACUGUGGCCUUCAGAGGUGAACACACAUCAAGACUUGAGCACAGGACCAGUAUAUGUAUUUAGCUCUGGGUAUAUCACUGCCACACCCCUCACCACAUGGAAAAGGUGCUUCUGGAUCCCAGGAGCUCUCUAGUUCUUCAUGAAGCUCCCAGCUGUGUCCACUUGCCACCUGACUUCUUAUUGUGUCUGUUGCCUARAUGUCCCCAGUACCUGCCUACUUGUCCUGCCAGACCACCAGGUCGGUCUGGUCUCAGGGUACAGCUGUUUCUCUCCGUUACUUUCUUCCAUGAUUGACAAUUUCUGGAUAACCUAUGGAAAUUUGUGGUGACAACUUUGAACGACUCUGAGUUUUGUAGCUGGCACCUUGGAAAUCUCUAGUGAAAUUCCCAGAGUGAUAAGGGCUAAAGAAGUUCAAAGGACCAGCAGAGAUUGCCACAGAGACUGCAGCAUUUUUAAAGCAGUAUUGCUUCUAGGCUGUGAACUACAAUGGGCACAAAGAAUGAUUCUCCCUUUUAAAAAUGCUAUGUUGUGACUCUCGGUACUUGCCUCACUGGUUGUCACAACUAUCUACAGACAAAGUUCUUCAGUGUGCGGUGCAUGGCUCCACACUAUUCUGCCACUCAAGUGAAGGGUAUGCCUAGGGCCUUAGUUUGUGUAAACAUUGUUUUGCUGACUAUGAAUUUUGAACUACUAAUGUUACCACCUUCCACUUAGUGAUAAUUUACUCUUCUAUUCCAUGCUGAUGUUUUAGAUCAAGAUUUUAUGUUAAAAUUUAGGCACUUUUAUGUGCAUUCCUGCUUGCUUAGAUAAAAUUAGAACACAUGGCUUAAUUAGUAAGAUGUGUAUGUUCAUGAGGGAAGGCACACUUUCCACCAUUUUCCCCCCCAUUUCCAGGAAAUUGCAUUAUGAAAAUAUUGCUUUGGAAAAGGAACGGAGCCAUUCCCUGAGUGGAAUUUAUUAUAAUUUAGCAGUUAUAUAAUUGUAAUUGAGCCACUCUAACAAAGGCUACCAUUCAUUUCUGUUGAAG